rnacentral:misc_RNA from 1 species
AAAAAUAAAAAAUAAAAAAAAAUUUGAAACAUAUGUCAGGAAAAAGAAAGGAAAAUAAGUAGGUAAGCAGCACUCCUGAUUCAACCAUGCAAUACUGUAUACUCUUUAAGAAAUAACAACUAUAAAGUUGAAACAAGAUUGCUAUUUCUAAUCUCUCUGAUGACACUGUUUAUCAAUCAUCAAUUUCAGAAAUACAAUCUGUAUGUAUUACUAACCUCAU